GACGAACGCUGGCGGCGUGCUUAACACAUGCAAGUCGAACGGAAAGGCCCUGCUUUUGUGGGGUGCUCGAGUGGCGAACGGGUGAGUAACACGUGAGUAACCUGCCCUUGACUUUGGGAUAACUUCAGGAAACUGGGGCUAAUACCGGAUAGGAGCUCCUGCUGCAUGGUGGGGGUUGGAAAGUUUCGGUGGUUGGGGAUGGACUCGCGGCUUAUCAGCUUGUUGGUGGGGUAGUGGCUUACCAAGGCUUUGACGGGUAGCCGGCCUGAGAGGGUGACCGGCCACAUUGGGACUGAGAUACGGCCCGGACUCCUACGGGAGGCAGCAGUGGGGAAUAUUGCACAAUGGGCGGAAGCCUGAUGCAGCAACGCCGCGUGCGGGAUGACGGCCUUCGGGUUGUAAACCGCUUUCGCCUGUGACGAAGCGUGAGUGACGGUAAUGGGUAAAGAAGCACCGGCUAACUACGUG
rnacentral:rRNA from 1 species